AUUGAACGCUGGCGGCAUGCCUUACACAUGCAAGUCGAACGGCAGCACGGGGCAACCUGGUGGCGAGUGGAGAACGGGUGAGUAAUGCAUCGGAACGUACCUUUCAGUGGGGGAUAACGUAGCGAAAGUUACGCUAAUACCGCAUAUUCUGUGAGCAGGAAAGCAGGGGAUCGCAAGACCUUGCGCUGAUUGAGCGGCCGAUGUCAGAUUAGCUAGUUGGUGAGGUAAAGGCUCACCAAGGCGACGAUCUGUAGCGGGUCUGAGAGGAUGACCCGCCACACUGGAACUGGGACACGGUCCAGAGUCCUACGGGAGGCAGCAGUGGGGAAUUUUGGACAAUGGGGGCAACCCUGAUCCAGCCAUGCCGCGUGAGUGAAGAAGGCCUUCGGGUUGUAAAGCUCUUUCGGCCGGGAAGAAAUCGCACGGGCUAAUACCCUGUGUGGAUGACGGUACCGGAAUAAGAAGCACCGGCUAACUACGUGCCAGCCGCCGCCGUAACAC
rnacentral:rRNA from 1 species